GUUUAAAGAGUUUAGUUUGAAAAAAAGGUAAAACAAUUAUUAUUGUCCAGGUCAUAUUUGAUAACUGUUGUUAAUUGAUAACAUAUUACAGGGACACAGUAAAAAGACAAAACAUUUAGACCCUUUGAAAGAGAAAUGUUUGCAAUGGAUAUUAAUAAAUUCUAGCCAAUUUGUACAAUGUACAAUGCAGGAAAUAUUUCUGCCUUCUAACGCACUAUUCGCGUAAAAGAAGAUGUGGGUAUUGUAUUUAUAGAACAGAUUUAUUAUUAGUUGGCUAGUGUGUUAGUAGGAUAGCCAUUGGUAGUUAUAAAGUAUGAAGUCAGGUAUUAAUAAUAGGAAUUGAUCAAAGCUUAUACAUUUAUUGUGAUAUUUAUAUUGUGAAUUUAAGUAGUUAGUUUUGGUUGUUUAAUAAACGAAUUAAUGUGC